ACGCUCGACACCUACGGAGGCAGCAGUGGGGAAUAUUGCACAAUGGGGGGAAACCCUGAUGCAGCGACGCCGCGUGAGCGAAGAAGUAUUUCGGUAUGUAAAGCUCUAUCAGCAGGGAAGAAAAUGACGGUACCUGACUAAGAAGCCCCGGCUAACUACGUGCCAUCAGCCGCGGUAAUCUGAGGCGGGCGUGGCGAAGGC
rnacentral:rRNA from 1 species